UGAGCUCCUAUGCUUUUAAAAGUACCAAGUUAUUGGGUACUUGUAGAUUUUUAGCUAUUGGAUUAAGAGAUAUGCGGUUAGGAUGAUAUGGGCCCCCUAGGGUUGAGUGGGUGGUUGGUUGAAUAGUAUAAUCUAACAGUUGAAAAUGAUCAGAAUAGUAGAUCUAACGGUAAAAAACUUACAAGCACCAAGUGCUUGGUGCUUUUACAAGCACUAUAGCUAGACUCUCUCUCUCUUUCUCUCUCUCUCUCUCUAUAUAUAUAUGCACCUAUUUUUUUGCUUACACAAUAUCUAAAAAUUCGUUACA
rnacentral:lncRNA from 1 species